rnacentral:misc_RNA from 1 species
GUCACAGUCCCUCUUGUGCUGGGGUAUCGCUCAUCUCUGCAUUUCUAGGUGCCGCCGAUUUCGUUUCGUAAUUCUAUCUUCGUAGUGCAGUGACGUAAAUAUCUUUGUUUUUUUAAUGUGAUUUAUCUAUUUAAUUGAUUAUUGUUCUUCUCACAAAACAAUAUUUGAUGUGUUCUUGAGCUCCAUUGGAUGUUUUGUGGUUUUUGCUAAAAUGCAAAUUGUUACCAUCCUAUUGUCUGUUUUCUUGCUGGGAUAUGGAGGAAAUAUUAUGGAAAUUGAUGGAAAUUUAAGCAAUGGAGCUGCUAAUUUUUUGAAAUUGUAAUAAUUGGUUGGGGGCUUUUGCGCUAUUGUUUUUCCUGGAGGCUUUCUUUCUUUCUUUCUUUUAUUU